UACGAAGGGGGCUAGCGUUGUUCGGAAUCACUGGGCGUAAAGGGCGCGUAGGUGGUGGCUUAAGCGUGCGGUGAAAGCUCGGAGCUCAACUCCGAGUCGGCCGUGCGAACUGGGCUCACUGGAGCAUAGUAGAGGCAGGUGGAAUUCCGGGUGUAGCGGUGGAAUGCGUAGAGAUCCGGAAGAACACCGGUGGCGAAGGCGGCCUGCUGGGCUAUGGCUGACACUGAGGCGCGACAGCGUGGGGAGCAAACAGGG
rnacentral:rRNA from 1 species